AACCUUAUAGUAUAGCGUAUAGUACGCCGACUACUUUACCGGAAACGUAAGUUCGAAUUUUACCGAGGUUCUUUUAAGUUUAAAAGUAUUUAAUAAAGGUCUUUUAAGCUUAAAUCUAUUUUUAUUAUCCGCCGGUAAUACAUUUUUUUACGAUAAUAGGGGUAUAUAAUACUAGUUAAGCCUAAAUUCCUUUCUACCUUCUAACUUUAUAGUAUAAUAUAUAAUACGUUAAUUAUCCUAUCGGAGGCGUAGGUUCGAUUCCUAUUAAAGUUC